rnacentral:lncRNA from 1 species
GUGCAACCUCAUAGGCCCUGGCCGAGCCAGCAGAGAGGCCGCCGGCCAUGGGCACCUGCUCAGAAGACCCCCACCUGGGUGGGGCCUCCUGGCUCCUGGGAUUCACCAGCCUUCUCCUCAGUGUCUGUGGUGCUCUGACCCAGAGCUCUGGAGUCCGUGGUUCUGGAGUGGGGGAUUCUGGAAUCCCUGUUUCUCUGAAGAUGAGAGGAAGUUCUGUUUCGUUUCAUGUGAUCAGAAAACCAGAAUUACCCCCAGAAGGUGAGCUGGAGAAGAUUUCAUGGGGCAUUGUAUAUGGGUCAAACUACAGAGUCAUGCUGAAUGUCCUUCCUGGGAGGAAUGUUCCAGAAUGGGUCAACUUCCAGGACAAGUUCAAGACGAGGGUCCAUGUGCCCAUCAUAACGAAUUUCACUAUAGACAACCUGACCCUAGAGGACAGCGGGCUGUACCGGGCUCGAGUCUACUACACGAGAGGAAGACAGUAUGACCAGGAUUUCCACCUGACGGUCUAUGAGCCCGUGCCCCUUCCCCAGAUCCGGGCCACGGUUCCGUCCCUCACACCAGGCUGGUGCAACGUCACUGUGGAGUGUGACACCACGCGAAACAGGGAGGGCCUGACCAUGGAGUGUGACACCACGGGAACCAGGGAGGGCCUGACCGUGUCCUGGGAGAGCGAGGGCCUCCUCAGGGAGCUGGAGCAGAGACCGGCCCCACGACCAGCGCCCAACCCCUGGACCCUGGCUGUGACCCUGCCCCUGAGCCAGCCCAACGCCAGCCUCACCUGUGUGGUCAGCAACCAGGUGGACCAGAAAACUGCCACCAGGGUCCUUGGGGACAUCUGUGGCCAUGGUCUACAUGGACAGGUCACUGCUGCCCUAUUACGAAACAUCCUAGGAUCUGUUGUGAUCGUGCUGCUGAUCCUGGGAGCUGGGCUGUAUCUUUGGAAGACACGUGGGGAGAAGAAGAACGUGGACUCUGGGAGAGGCAGGUUGCACUUCUCCUUCCUGAGCCCAGACCCCUCCCUCCCCCACUCUUCCUGGAGCUCGCUCUCUCCUGCAUUUUGCGGCUCAGGGAAUGUCCCGCAGGAGGCUGGCUGCUGUGGCCAUGGCCGUGAGGUCAUGGAGGGGGAGGGUCCAGGUCUCCAGGCUCAGACUCCAGCUCCGUCUGUGCAUGACUCAGGUGCAGGAUCACAGGAGGACCACAGGGACCCGGAUGCUGGCAUCCACUACGCAGAGCUGAGCCAGCAAGAGUCUGGAGACAGGAGGGACAGGGGUAGGGGUGCCCCUGAUCUAGAAGAGGAGAGCCCUCUCACCACUGUCUACAGUGAGGUCCGCAGGCCAGGCCAGGCCAUGAGGAGGAUUUAAUGGGAAGAAGCAGGAGAAUCUCGCCCUCCGGAAACACCUGUCUCGUGAGCAUGACGCCUGCAGCUCGGGUCCUGCCUCCUCCACCUCUGAGGCUCUGAGCAGGGACUGGAUGGAUCCACCGUCAGUUAUUUCUGUGCUAAAUCGUUCUGCACAAGGUCACCGUGAGGCACACACAGGGGUAGUUCAAGGGGGAAACUGAGUAAACAAACCUGUUCCAGAACCGCUCAGCCUCAGCUACGUGUCAACCCCAGACGGCCCCGCUCUGCCCCUGGUCUCUACGACAUCCAACUGCCUUUCAGACCCGUAGCCCCUGGGACGAGCCCUGGUGAAUUCCCAAUAUCCCGCCUGGACCGUCUUGAACACCACCCAGCGGUCAGUCCCGUGCUGAGAGCUAUUCACGGACCCUGUGAAUUCGUAACCGUGAGCGCUGGCUGAGUGCCGCUCUGUGACUCGCACUGUUCUGACCACUCUGCUCGCUGUUAACUCACUGGGUCCUCGGGGACUCUCUGUGAAGGGAAUUUGAAUGGCUCCAUGAUGCAGAAGACAAAAUCUGGGUGGAGGGGACCUGAGAUGUCCCUAAAUCUCUCAGUGGAUCUCAUUCCUUCUACCGCGUCCCCAUCCAGGUGGAGUGGAGAGGGACCCUCGUGUCUGGCACCUCUACUAUCUCUGCCAUCUCUCUCCCUUCUGAACUUCCAGUCGUGGGCGUUAGUGGGAUAGACCAGACCCUGGGUCCUGCUCGACUCUCCUCCAGGGGAGCCUCUCCAAGCCUGUCGGGUUCCUGCUUUCCUGAUUUCUUUGCCAAAGUGAGCAGAUAGAGCUUGUGUGAGGAGCUCCCUCUCCUCUUCUCGCUUCCCUUUCUCAGCUGCUCCCUGCGCUGCUCACAAGUGCUGCCCGUGCUCUGGGGUGUCCUGCGUCUCAGGGUCAUGUCUCCCUCACUAGCCUGCAGGCAGCCCGAGGCCAGAAGCUUCGCCUUGUUCUCCGUCCCAUCCCCUGUGUCGCGGACAGAGCUGCUUCCUGGUGGCUGUUCAGUAGCUGUUGCUGGAAGAUGAGAGACGUUUGCUCAGAAAUCAUUUGUCCCUCAUCUGGGCUGCAGGAGAGCCCACCCAAGCCCCCUGUGAGAUCUCCUGAAGUGACAUCACUGUCCUUGCAGACGACCUGCUCAGAGCUGCCCACUGGUCCUGCAAGACAAGCUGCCAGGGUCUCCUGUGAUCGGACCCGCUCCGUGUGCAUCCAGCCGCGGGAGCUCAGCUCGGUUGCGAUCAUAGCUGCCAGUGAUGUGGGAAAGAAAGGCAGAAGAAAAAUUAUUAAAUUUCCUUACUAUCCACAGCCCAUUGACUAGUCCUUGAAACAGGCAGAGUGACCUUCCUCUAGGGAUACAACUCUUGAUGUUAAUACUUUGCUGAGGACAAAAGUCAGUCCUAGCCUGGGAUCCUGUAAGUCUACUUUAACAUACAGAAGUUCUUUUGGAAACUUCGUUUAUCUCUACCCGUCCCCCCUAGAAACAUGUUGGGAAUCAUCCUCAAGCGUAUGACCCACCGAUAUGCAUCUGAAGGGUUUCAUGACUAAGGUUUUAUCAGAUGGUAAUAAAUGACCUUUUCCCAACA